GGAAUAUUGCGCAAUGGACGAAAGUCUGACGCAGCGACGCCUCGUGAGGGACGAAGGUCUUCGGAUUGUAAACCUCUUUCAGCAGGGACGAAGCGAAAGUGACGGUACCUGCAGAAGAAGCACCGGCUAACUAUGUGCCAGCAGCCGCGGUAAUACAUAGGGUGCAAGCGUUGUCCGGAUUUAUUGGGCGUAAAGAGUUCGUAGGCGGUUUCUCGCGUCGGAUGUGAAAACUCAGGGCUCAACCCUGAGCCUGCAUUCGAUACGGGGAAACUUGAGGACGGCAGGGGAGACUGGAACUCCUGGUGUAGCGGUGGAAUGCGCAGAUAUCAGGAAGGACACCAAUGGCGAAGGCAGGUCUCUGGGCCGAUUCUGACGCUGAGGAACGAAAGCGUGGGGAGCAAACAGGAUUAGAUACCCUGGUAGUCCACGCCGUAAACGAUGGACGCUAGGUGUGGGAACAUUCCACGUUCUCUGCGCCGCAGCUAACGCAUUAAGCGUCCCGCCUGGGGAGUACGACCGCAAGGUUAAAACUCAAAGGAAUUGACGG
rnacentral:rRNA from 1 species